UGGGGAAUCUUGCACAAUGGGGGAAACCCUGAUGCAGCGACGCCGCGUGAGCGAUGAAGCCCUUCGGGGUGUAAAGCUCUUUCGGCAGGGACGAUAAUGACGGUACCUGAAGAAGAAGCUGCGGCUAACUACGUGCCAGCAGCCGCGGUAAUACGUAGGCAGCGAGCGUUGUUCGGAGUUACUGGGCGUAAAGAGUGCGUAGGCGGUGGCCCAAGUCUGGUGUGAAAUCUCCCGGCUCAACCGGGAGGGUGCGCCGGAAACUGGGUUGCUUGAGUACUGGAGAGGCAAGCGGAAUUCCUGGUGUAGCGGUGAAAUGCGUAGAUAUCAGGAGGAACACCCGUGGUGUAGACGGCUUGCUGGACAGUCACUGACGCUGAGGCACGAAAGCGUGGGGAGCAAA
rnacentral:rRNA from 1 species